AUACGGAGGGUGCAAGCGUUACUCGGAAUCACUGGGUGUAAAGCGCGCGCAGGCGGCUUGAUAAGUUGGAUGUGAGAGCCUACGGCUCAACCGUAGAACUGCAUCCAAAACUGUCAAGCUAGAGUCUGGGAGGGGAAGAUGGAAUUAGUUGUGUAGGGGUAAAAUCCGUAGAGAUAACUAGGAAUACCAAAAGCGAAGGCGAUCUUCUGGAACAGUACUGACGCUGAGGCGCGAAAGCGUGGGGAGCAAACAGGAUUAGAAACCCCAGUAGUCC
rnacentral:rRNA from 1 species